rnacentral:rRNA from 1 species
GACGAACGCUGGCGGCGUGCCUAACACAUGCAAGUCGAACGGGGUACUCCUUCGGGGGUACUUAGUGGCGAACGGGUGAGUAACGCGUGAGGAACCUACCUUCCAGUGGGGGACAACAGUUGGAAACGACUGCUAAUACCGCAUAACACAACGAGACCGCAUGAUCUUGUUGUCAAAGCUUUAUGUGCUGGAAGAUGGCCUCGCGUCUGAUUAGCUAGUUGGUGGGGUAACGGCCUACCAAGGCGACGAUCAGUAGCCGGACUGAGAGGUUGAACGGCCACAUUGGGACUGAGAUACGGCCCAGACUCCUACGGGAGGCAGCAGUGGGGAAUAUUGGGGCAAUGGGGGAAACCCUGACCCAGCAACGCCGCGUGAAGGAAGAAGGCCUUCGGGUUGGUAAACUUCUUUUACCUAGGGACGAAGAACGUGACGGUACCUGGAGAAAAAGACAACGGCUAACUACGUGCCAGCAG